rnacentral:rRNA from 1 species
UACCGUAGGUGGCGAGCGUUAUCCGGAUUUACUGGGUGUAAAGGGCGUGUAGGCGGGUUUGCAAGUCGGGUGUGAAAUAUCCAGGCUUAACUUGGAUGGGUCAUCCGAAACUGCAGAUCUUGAGUGCUGGAGAGGAUAGUGGAAUUCCUGGUGUAGCGGUAAAAUGCGUAGAUAUCAGGAGGAACACCAGUGGCGAAGGCGGCUAUCUGGACAGUAACUGACGCUGAGGCGCGAAAGCGUGGGUAGCAAACAGGAUUAGAUACCCGU